rnacentral:lncRNA from 1 species
UCAAGCCACUAUACUGAUUAGAGAGAAUUGUAAAAGAUUUAAUUCUUCAACAGAGAUGAUCCUCCUGUCCUCUGAUAAUGUAACUUUGCGAUUAACUGCAAAUGGAAGGCUCAUCCUCCUACAGCAAUCCCCAGACUCAAGUACGGAUAAUGUUUCACCUGAUAAAUCUUUUUCUUAUGUUUCCAUGCUAGACACCGGCAACUUUGUGCUCUAUAAUUCUGAUCAAAAGAUAAUAUGGCAGAGUUUUGAUCACCCAACAGAGGCAAUCUUACCUGGUCAGAAUCUUUCAAAUGGUCAGGAAUUGUUUUCAAGCAGGUCAAAAUCUGAUUAUGCCACAGGAAUAUUUAGACGCAAGAUGCAGAUUGUAAAAUAUCUAACCGAUGGGUUUCUGAGAAGCAGAGAGUUUACCUCAUGAAAAUUGAUCCUGAUGGUAUCCUUCGCCAAUAUUCACUGAGUUUCGAUACGAAAGGAAACGGCUCAUUAAUUGUAUGGCAAUCUUUGGCAGACAGAUGUGAUCCUAAAGGCAUAUGUAGCCUAAACAGAUUUCGUACUCUCUCUGAUAAUG